rnacentral:tRNA from 1 species
GCCUUCGUGGUGUAGUGGUCAAUACGUUCGACGCGUAACCCAGAGGUCCGUGGUUCGAGCCCCGGCGAAAGCG